rnacentral:tRNA from 1 species
GGUGGGAUGGCAGAGCGGUUAAAUGCGACGGUCUUGAAAACCGUUGGGAAUUAUUUCCCACGCGAGUUCGAAUCUCGCUCCCACCGC